GGCGUUGGUCGUGACUCUGGGCGCUGUCCACAGCAGCGUCGGCCAGAGAAGCAAGGCCAGAGUGCUGCUCGCAGCGAACGACUGGAAGGGCGAGGCCGUCGUGACGCAGUCCAUACGAGUGGCCGCGGACUCAAAGAAAGAAGCGGCCAUCACCAAGCGUUACGAGGCGCCCGCGUCCAAGCGGUACGCGAGCUCAUCAGAAGCCGCCAACUUCGUCCACCCGGGAGAAGUACUACGGCGGCCUGCGGCUUCGGGCGUCACGUACGUGGCCGAGCCGACCGGUGCCCAGGCGGUGUCGACGGCGGUCGCACUUAAGACGGAACCUUCGGCGGCAGCGACUGGCCAUGGUGGCGGCCACGGCGGGGGACACGGAGGAGGAUACUUCCAGUACGCUCGUGUUCCCGGCUACAACACGUACGAGUUCGGCUACCGCAAGGGCAAUCCGCACCACUUCCAGGAGCGCCACGAGACGCGCCAUGGACCCCAUUUUCGCACUAAGCAGCGCUGGGGAGACAAGUACGGCGGAUACGGCGAGCACUACUGGGAGUACAACCACGCGCCCAAGUAUCACUGAAUGUGAAAGAGGCCGUGCAACGGCUGCCAUUUCACAUCAGCCAGCGUUUUCACAGCACAUCUUACUCCUGGCCGACUUACGCUCCAGAAUCAACUAGUACCGGAACAUCAUGCAGUGGCAGCCACCCUGCACAACGAGGAAUCUGUUGUCAUGCCAGGAACCUUAUAUAUAUAUAUAAAUUAAGGCGACAGAAGCAUAUGGCAUUUGCACAUACGCUGCGUCGAAUUUUGUAAAUGCGUCAUUAUUUAUGUGUAUGCACAUCUAGCCGUAUAUAUGCGAGGCUACUCGUGAGCGACUUUCUGUGACAAUGAAGGGAAAGCUACGGAGACAAGGCAAGCGAAAGCAUAAGAGCGCUCUGGAAAAAAAAGUCCCAUGUUCUCACCCGCGUCACAAUUAAGCUGGGCAAGAGAAAACAUUGACACCUUAUAUACAACAGCAGAACAAGACAAAGUACGCGUUAUAUUUACCUUUUUUUUCUGCUUUUAUCUUCCUCCACGUUUGGACAAAUGCGAAACCCUCGCACGUGGAAAUUGCGCUGAUUCAAGUAUCGGCUUCAAGAAACCAAAAUAGCUGUCAAACGCUGCCGGGGUAUUAUUCUGAACAUCGUCGAAUUCCUUCAAGUUGCCACAUUCUGUAAUGGCGGCAUCUUGAGUCAAUCAGGGAAGCCGCAGAAGCCAUCUGGACCAAUCAUAGCUGACAAGAUGGCGAAUUCGACAUAAUGGCGGAGUUCGAGGAUGUCUAGAAUAAGUACCCUCGGACUAUUUGGCACAGUAGCGCAUGCAUGUGGAUAUGCUCCGCACUUCUAGUUUUUCCCUUAUUGCCACAGACAAUCAUUCACUUAAUCAGUUUUGGGAGGCAUCCCGCACUUACACACGAUGCGGUAAGCUUAAAAGGUCAUACGAUAAGCUUCCGCUGCAUUAAUCUUAAUGGGGCUACAGGGGUUUCGUAGGCGAAACUGCAAUGUCUGGAAACGUUUAAUGGGAGACACAUAAUGUGUUUCGCGUGCUGGUGAUCGCAUCAUGAAAUAGUUUUGGCACCUUAUAUUUCAACUAGGCAUGUCAUAGUACCUGACGAAGAUAUUAACACUGACAUGCGUAACAAUUAUCUGCACUUUACCAGUUUCCCAGGUUCACCAGACAUGAAAGUUGCUUUCACUUUUCCCUCGUAUAGCUGAGCAACGCGUGCAAAUAAUUCGCGUCUGUGAGUUGAAAAUGUAUAGGAAGGAAAACUUGAGCAAAAAUGGGAGGAGACGGGAGGGGGCGGGGGGGUGAGGAGAUGGCAGCGAUUGAUAUCUACAGCUACUGAGAGAUCAUGAUAAGCCAUUGGUGUUUGUUUAAUUGACGUAAGGCACGAAUUUGCAACUGAGUAAGAGAUUCCCUAUUCGAAAUUUUGUUGUUGUUACCGCUGAACCUAAAUUUGCUUAGCACAGACAUUUGCGAAAACAUGAAAGAAAUUAUGAUUGAGGAAAAUUCCUUGAAAAAUCCAUUCCUAGGAGACUCUCCUAGGUGUGCGUGUUCUGACACUGACUAUUAUAUAUAUGCAACCUACGACGAAGUUCACUGCGGAUGAAUGUGGAUGCCGAGGCGAAUGGUGAAAUUUCGCUUUGGCAGCGUUGUAUCAAUCCAAACUGACAUUAUCAUUUUAACGUGAAAUAAUUUUUGUGAGAAGUUUAGAUCGUCGGUGCGAGCUGUCAUCAAAUUGCAGCCAUCAAUUAGUCUGUCACGACUGUAUGCGCGUCAUUGUGUUUGCUGUUUUAUUUGUUUCACUGCAUUAUGUCGUUGUACUUGCCCGUUCAAUAAAAAAGAAAGGAUAAAUAUCGA